AUUUGACUUUGGAUUAACUGGAGAUCCUAGCAACACAGCUGAGGGUGCUGGGGAUGGAGGAAGGUCUACCAGCUGAGCACAGUUUACUGGGAAGAGCCGGGAGCUGCCUGAGUCAUGGACUUCUAUUUCUUUCCCUGAGAUAUGGUACCCCAGACUGGGCAAAGGGGGGAAGGAAGGACUGUGUGUGUUUGUGGGUGUUUCAAGG